UGCUCCACUAGUUGGCCUGACAUAAUUCC
rnacentral:piRNA from 1 species